rnacentral:rRNA from 1 species
UACGUAGGGUCCGAGCGUUGUCCGGAGUUACUGGGCGUAAAGCGCGCGCAGGCGGCUUUCUAAGUCUGGCGUGAAAGCCCCCGGCUCAACCGGGGAGGGUCGUCGGAGACUGGGGAGCUUGAGGGCGGUAGGGGCUGGUGGAAUUCCCGGUGUAGUGGUGAAAUGCGUAGAGAUCGGGAGGAACACCUGUGGCGAAGGCGGCCAGCUGGGCCGACCCUGACGCUGAGGCGCGAAGGCGUGGGGAGCGAACGGG